AUAACUGGCUUGUGGCAGCCAAGCAUUCAAUAGCGACGUUAUUUUUUGAUCCUUCGAUGUCGGCUCUUUCUCUCCUCCUUCAUUAGAAUUCAUCGGAAGCGUUGUAAUGCUUUGUUCACUUAUACUAAUCUAUCUUUUAUUUUAGGGGCGAUUAGAUUUCAGUUCAAGUUACACUCACAGGGAGAAACUGAUCUGUGCACACGCA
rnacentral:ncRNA from 1 species